rnacentral:rRNA from 1 species
CAAUAGCGUAUAUUAAAGUUGUUGCAGUUAAAAAGCUCGUAGUUGGAUUUGUGGCGUACGGUGUGUUCCGGGCACUUGUUGUCUGAGUAACAUGCUGUUGCCAUCCUUGGGUGGAACCUGUGUGGCAUUAGGUUGUCGUGCAGGGGAUGCCCAUCAUUUACUGUGAAAAAAUUAGAGUGUUCAAAGCAGGCUUAUGCCGUUGAAUAUAUUAGCAUGGAAUAAUGAGAUAGGACUUUUUUGCUAUUUUGUUGGUUUGCGCAAAGAGGUAAUGAUUAAUAGGGACAGUUGGGGGUAUUCGUAUUCCAUUGUCAGAGGUGAAAUUCUUGGAUUUUUGGAAGACGAACUACUGCGAAAGCAUUUACCAAGGAUGUUUUCAUUAA